CCUACGGGAGGCAGCAGUGGGGAAUAUUGGACAAUGGGCGAAAGCCUGAUCCAGCCAUGCCGCGUGUGUGAAGAAGGCCUUCGGGUUGUAAAGCACUUUCAGUGGGGAAGAAAGCCUUGGGGCUAAUACCCUCGAGGAAGGACAUCACCCACAGAAGAAGCACCGGCUAACUCCGUGCCAGCAGCCGCGGUAAUGCGGAGGGUGCGAGCGUUAAUCGGAAUUACUGGGCGUAAAGCGCGCGUAGGCGGUCUGAUAAGCCGGUUGUGAAAGCCCCGGGCUCAACCUGGGAACGGCAUCCGGAACUGUCAGGCUAGAGUGCAGGAGAGGAAGGUAGAAUUCCCGGUGUAGCGGUGAAAUGCGUAGAGAUCGGGAGGAAUACCAGUGGCGAAGGCGGCCUUCUGGACUGACACUGACGCUGAGGUGCGAAAGCGUGGGUAGCAAACAGGAUUAGAUACCCCUGUAGUC
rnacentral:rRNA from 1 species